AACCAAACGGAGUGUACUGUUGCUCAGGUGUGGGACGGGCGUGAACUUAAGUUAACUUUUAGGAGAUGCAUUGACCAAAAUGGACUUGAUAGAUGGGAACUAUUGUCGAGGGUUGUUCAGCAGUGUACACUAUCGGAUGAAUCUGAUAUACCAAGUUGGUCUUUGAAAUCUAAUAGAUUAUACUCUGUGAAAUCCUUCUACAAAAGCAUCAACUUUAGGGGGAUAGCUUCUGCUAUCAAAGAUGACCUUUGGAAAAUUAUGUGUCCUCAGAAAAUACAUGUGUUUUUGUGGUUGUGUGCUCAUAACAAAAUCCUGACUAGGGAUAAUCUUGCUAAAAGGAGGGAGGUGGAGGACCCUUCCUGUCUUUUUUGUGCGGAGUUCGAAUCUGUGCAACAUUUGAUGUUUGAUUGUGUGGUGGCACAACAUGUGUGGGGCUUUAUAUCUGAUUUCUUUGAGAUUGAUAGAAUUACCAGCUUUGACAAUAUUUUUGCUUUUUGACGAGUACAUAAAAAAAGCCUAUGCUUAACAUGGUUAUUGCUGCUUCCUUGUGGAGCUUGUGGAGACUAA
rnacentral:rRNA from 1 species